rnacentral:rRNA from 1 species
GGAGUUAGCCGGUGCUUCUUCUGCGAGUAACGUCACAGAUGUAAGGUAUUAACUUACACCCUUUCCUCCUCGCUGAAAGUGCUUUACAACCCGAAGGCCUUCUUCACACACGCGGCAUGGCUGCAUCAGGGUUUCCCCCAUUGUGCAAUAUUCCCCACUGCUGCCUCCCGUAGGAGUCUGGGCCGUGUCUCAGUCCCAGUGUGGCUGAUCAUCCUCUCAGACCAGCUAGGGAUCGUCGCCUAGGUGAGCCUUUACCUCACCUACUAGCUAAUCCCACCUGGGCUUAUCCAUCAGCGCAAGGCCCGAAGGUCCCCUGCUUUCCCCCGUAGGGCGUAUGCGGUAUUAGCAGUCGUUUCCAACUGUUAUCCCCCACAAAUGGGCAAAUUCCCAGGCAUUACUCACCCGUCCGCCGCUCGUCAUCUUCAAAAGCAAGCUUUUGAAAUGUUACCGCUCGACUUGCAUGUGUUAGGCCUGCCGCCACGCGUCAAUACUGAGACCGAGGAUACAAACUACUCGA